GGCCGGGGCCCCACCGGCGACUCACGCCUUCCUGAGCUUGUUGCCUCAGCGGGAAAUCCAGCCAAGUGUCCCGUGCGCCCUCCCUCACGGGCCAACAGAGAGGGCCAGACAAACCGUAAAGUGCUGUGUCAGCUACCGCGGUGUCAGUGGGCGCUCCUCUGGCCCCGCGCUCCGCCCCCGGCAGGGCGGUGUCCUGAGAGCGGCUCACCCGGCAGGCCUAGGGGUGCGAGGCCGGGAGGACUGGCAGGAGCGCACGUGGCCGUGGCCAGCCCCGGCGUGGCAGGAGACACCCCUUCUCCCGCCAGCGAGGGGCUCCUCCUCGGUUUUGGAGGACAUUUUCAAGGUCUUGGCCACACCCCUUCAGAGGAUGCGCGUCACAUACAAGUCCUCUCCGCCACGGCAGCCCCUAAACGAUGUGAGGAGCAGGAGUGCGUUUGUCGAGCGGCACCCGGCAAACAAACGCCGGCACAGAAGCACACCGCAGACUGGCGUGGAGAAGAGACCCGGGGAAGCAGAGGCCGCUGCUCGGACAUACCAUUGUGUUUUCUGUGGAGAAGAAAGAGGUGGGACACCUCUGUUUGGCCCUGGGCACAGCAAAUACGAAAAGAGGAAGAAGCAGAGACACCAUCUCUCUGUUCUUUACGGCCACCUCUUGUAGGGCUGAGGGGCAAGGACGCCCCGUCACACCCUGGCUGGCUGCCGCAAGGGCCCGAGGGGGGACUGGAGCAUCAUGUGCAGAAGGAAGCCCGUGGCUGGUGCUCAGGUGGCCUCGUACUCAGAGAUGGAGGGACCGCGUGCUGGAAUCGUACGGUCCCCUCCUCACCGCCUCUGCCCCUGCUGCCCAGCCAGAGGAGACGAAUGCACGUGCAGAAACCCUUCCUGGCCAGCACCCUGCCGCCGGGGUUCUCACGGCCCCAGCCAGCUGCUGAGUGCACAGCACGCCAUCUUCAGUUCCACACCACGUGGAAACCGUCACCUCCACGAGACUCCAGACACCACGCCAAGCAAAGAGGAAGCCUGCGUUUUCCAUGCAGGGCCGUGGACGUCCUACUCUCCAAACCCAUCAGCGGCACGGGCCACUCCCGAUAUUUUCGUGCAAACGCAGCCUGUGCAGCCCAUGUCCUGAAAACAAGAGUGCCCACUCCCCAAAAGGCACAGGCAACAAGCCGCCUUUCUCAAGGAGAUUCGUCAACGGAGAUGACAUGAAAACAUCAGCUUGGAAUGAUCUGCCCUGGGAAGGGACACGGGCCUCACUUCCCAGGAGGGGGACAGACAACCAGAGAAGUCAGCUCAGAGAGGACACCCCUCCUGCCUUGAGAAGCACCAACAGGCAGCACAGAAAGGCCACGGGGAUCUCUCCAGGAGGCCAGCCUCGCACAGGGCUGCCCCGCCGAGAACAAGCAUAUGACCCCGGCACCCAGUAUUGGGCCCAUUUUGGGUGCGAUUCCGUGUGCCACAGCAGAGCUCUUCGACAGAAAGUGAGCUUCUGAGAACACAGGGAAGCCGGUGGCCAAGGACUAGAAACGGGAAGGGAGACCCCACAGAUACCCGGGGUGCCGGCACGUCAGGAACCCGGGAUGACGCGUACCUGCGUGGAAUAAACGUGGCCACCUGUGCCA
ensembl:lncRNA